rnacentral:rRNA from 1 species
UGGCUUUACCUGAAGACGGUGCGCUAACCGCAAGGAAGCAGCCGACCACGGUCGGGUCAGCGACUGGGGUGAAGUCGUAACAAGGUAGCCGUAGGUGAACCUGCAGAAGGAUCA